GCAAGGUCAGGAACUCUGGCUUUGAAUAUGCAGGCAGAAGGGCCCAGCCAAACCCCAAACCAUCAUCUGACCAGAGACAGGAAAAUGAAUCAGAGGCAACCAGGAAGAAGCCUGAGGUUAACCUUGUGCAGACUGCAGGCCAUGAUCACCAUCAAACUCAACACAGCACCUAGCUCAGAGCAGAUAUUCCAUAAACGUUUGCUGAGUGAAUGAAUGUGUAGGACUUUGGACGAUGCCUUCACUCUCCACAUCUCAGAAUUCUAGCUACUACUAGUAUUUCCGAUGCCAUGUUGGAAAGAAUUGUGCUGUGUGAACCAUCCUGCUUUCAAGGGCUCCGCUGAUGAGCAGUAUCCAGCCUCUCCUUUGAUCUUCAAGAAGAGAAGAUGGAAUCAGUCAAUCUCACUUGCUUCUUGGCAAAAGGGAGGCUCAGGUCCAAGGUUGCGCCUCUCCAAAGCCAUGAAAUAACCUCCAUGACAGUGUUUCUGUAGAUGGUGCCUGAGGACCACCCACCUCAGGUGCAUCUGAGAAAUUAACUGCUCCCUAACAAAACACAUUCCUGGGCUCCAUCCAGACUUACUGAGUCAGACACUCUGAGCACAGGUCCUAGGAGUCUUAAUCUUAACAGGCCCCCAGGUAACUCUUACACACACUCAAAUUUGAGAACCACUGUCCAAGUUUGACAUAUCAUGCCUUCUGGGUUGAACACACCAUAGGAUAUCCUCCAAUGAGUCAUGUCCUUGUGUAAUUCUCUCCGUUGAGUGUGGGGAGAACCUGUGACCUGCAUCUAACCAAUAGAAAAUGGCAAAGGUGAUUAUGUUGUGUUAUAUAAGACUAUCUUAGAGGACUGGGGAGAGAGAUUCUCCUGCUGGCCUUGAAGAAGUAAGCCGCCAUGUUGUGAGAGCCUAUAAAAGGGCCACCUGCCAGAAAACAUAAGUGACCUCUGGAUGCUGAGAACAGGCCCCAGAUGACAGCCAGCAAGGAAACAGGGAUGUCAGUCCUAUAAUCACAGGACCUGAAUUCUGCCAACAGCCAUGUGAGCUGGAAGAGGACUGAGCUCAAUAAAAGAACACAGACAGCCCUGCCUGUUUGAAACCUGGAUUGUAGCCUUGUGAGACCGAGCAGAAGACCCAGCAAAGCCUCACCUGGACCCCUGACCCACAGAAAC